AGUGAACGCUGGCGGUAGGCCUAACACAUGCAAGUCGAACGGCAGCACAGUAAGAGCUUGCUCUUACGGGUGGCGAGUGGCGGACGGGUGAGGAAUACAUCGGCAUCUACUUUUUCGUGGGGGAUAACGUAGGGAAACUUAUGCUAAUACCGCAUACGACCUACGGGUGAAAGCAGGGGAUCUUCGGACCUUGCGCGAUUGAAUGAGCUGAUGUCGGAUUAGCUAGUUGGCGGGGUAAAGGCCCACCAAGGCGACGAUCCGUAGCUGGUCUGAGAGGAUGAUCGGCCACACUGGAACUGAGACACGGUCCAGACUCCUACGGGAGGCAGCAGUGGGGAAUAUUGGACAAUGGGCGCAAGCCUGAUCCAGCCAUACCGCGUGAGUGAAGAAGGCCUUCGGGUUGUAAAGCCCUUUUGUUGGGAAAGAAAAGCAGCAGAUUAAUACCCCGCUGUUCUGACGGUACCCAAAGAGUAAGCACCGGCUAACUUCGUG
rnacentral:rRNA from 1 species